UCGAUAAAGGUAUACCCGUUGAAAAGCGGGGUCGAAAAUCCACCGGUCUACGGGAAACUCCUAAAGCAGCGGGGCUACUG
rnacentral:ncRNA from 1 species